rnacentral:lncRNA from 1 species
GAUGUGUUUGAGCUUUUGAUUUUGCCAUUAGAUUAGGCCCUGUCCCUUUAGAUUUUUCCUCGGAGUUCAAUAUUUUUAUUUUAUUUUACUUUUUAUCUUCAGUGGGGUGUGAAUAAGGGAUAUCAUCAUUAUUAGUGGAUCACUUGAAUGUGUUAUCAUCAGUAGUGUAAAUUUCAAGAGACAGAAUUAGUGUUGUGUAAAUUUAUUUGGCUUUACUUUG